rnacentral:rRNA from 1 species
ACCAGUACCGUGAGGGAAAGGUGAAAAGCACCCCGACGAGGGGAGUGAAACAGUACCUGAAACCGAACGCCUACAAUCAGUUGGAGGGGCUUUACGCCCUGACAGCGUACCUUUUGUAUAAUGGGUCAUCGACUUGGUCUCACGAGCAAGCUUAAGCCGUUAGGUGUAGGCGUAGCGAAAGCGAGUCUUAAUAGGGCGUUGAGUUUGUGGGAUCAGACCCGAAACCGAGUGAUCUA